UUUGCACUGAAAUGUUGUUGUGCCUUGGACUGUGGAAAAUUCCGUAACCAGAUCCUGUCCUUUUCUUUAAAGAACACGUCUCGUCUGUUUUUGUUGUAACUUCUCAGCUGUCGUUUUUUGGCUUUUUUACAGCAUUCUUCAGCUUGUGAUUUUAACUGGGCUAGUUGAUUUACCACAUCAUAGGAUGGAUUUGAUGGUGAGAGAUUUUUACCCUGAAGUAUCUUGUCCAUGGGGCCUUGUAAUUUUCUUCCUAGCUGGAGCUCCGCAGGGGACAUGCCAGUGCUUUCUUGAACGGCUGAGUUAAGAGCAAAACGAAGCUCAGUUCUUUGAAUAUGGAAGAGACAAACUGAGUUCCCCGGUCAGACAAGAUGAAGUCCGGUACUCCAUAUCGGGUGAGGAUUUCCGUUCGGAGAAUCGUUGCUAUGGUGCUCGCAAUUGCAGUGCGCAUUGGAAAGAGCUCAACCCAUCGAGAGAAAUAAUCCACAAAAACUAGAAGGUCUUGAAUAUGCCACCAUGACCGCUUAGAGGAUUGGAGUGGUAGUAUUGAAGGACAGAUGGAAUGAGACUGCGAGGGAGGUAC